UUACAAUGCAAGCGCAAAGCGAAGCACCUUCUGACAUGCAAUGCAAAGAUUGCUUUUUUGUUGAGGGUGUCAUUAUCUUCGAAGGAGCCACUAGAAAGGAUAUUACACAUGAAAUGUUUUCUAAAGAGGCGGGUAAUACGGUGGAUCAGAUCUCGCUGUCAGUUGUAUAUGUCGCUGCCUAAUCCUUCAUCUCCGUUUCCUGGAGGAUGUGACGAGGGAUUUUCCUGUGGGAACGCUUCAUGGGAAUUUGGCAAUGGCUUACGGAGGAGAAGAAUGCUGCAAUCCGACCGAACAAUGAACCCUGAUGACAACUUGUGAGUACAACUCUUGCGUGAAUCAUUUUCCUAU